UNUGACUUGAGUGCAGAAGGGGAGAGUGGAAUUCCAUGUGUAGCGGUGAAAUGCGUAGAUAUAUGGAGGAACACCAGUGGCGAAAGCGGCUCUCUGGUCUGUCACUGACGCUGAGGCUCGAAAGCGUGGGUAGCGAACAGGAUUAGAUACCCUGGUAGUNCACGCCGUAAACGAUGAGUGCUAGGUGUUAGGCCCUUUCCGGGGCUUAGUGCCGGAGCUAACGCAAUAAGCACUCCGCCUGGGGAGUACGACCGCAAGGUUGAAACUCAAAGGAAUUGACGGGGGCCCGCACAAGCGGUGGAGCAUGUGGUUUAAUUCGAAGCAACGCGAAGAACCUUACCAGGUCUUGACAUCCCGAUGCUAUUCUUAGAGAUAGGAAGUUACUUCGGUACAUCGGAGACAGGUGGUGCAUGGUUGUCGUCAGCUCGUGUCGUGAGAUGUUGGGUUAAGUCCCGCAACGAGCGCAACCCUUAUUGUUAGUUGCCAUCAUUAAGUUGGGCACUCUAGCGAGACUGCCGGUAAUAAACCGGAGGAAGGUGGGGAUGACGUCAAAUCAUCAUGCCCCUUAUGACCUGGGCUACACACGUGCUACAAUGGUCGGUACAACGAGUUGCGAGCCGGUGACGGCAAGCUAAUCUCUGAAAGCCGAUCUCAGUUCGGAUUGGAGGCUGCAACUCGCCUCCAUGAAGUCGGAAUCGCUAGUAAUCGCGGAUCAGCACGCCGCGGUGAAUACGUUCCCGGGCCUUGUACACACCGCCCGUCACACCACGAGAGUUUGUAACACCCGAAGUCGGUGAGGUAAC
rnacentral:rRNA from 1 species